UCUAGAUCUUUCUGUAGCUCAAGCACAGUCGAAGCCAUGGUCUUGGUGAGCACCUACCACUGAGCCACGCAGGAGUGGAGGUCACACAGAGCAUGCUCACUUGAGUGCAGCACAGCAGCCCAGGCUAAACAUGUGAACUGCAAUUAAAGCCAGGACCAUGGCUUUUCUGUGGGAAGAUGGAUUAAUCUGGCUUUGUGGGUUCCCUUCAGGUACUGUAAUAAUCAUCCGUCCUGUGGAGAGAGGGACCAGUGUUUCAAUAAAGAAGAGUCAGGUGCAGCCUGGGCAAGUGAGGCAUUUUUAUGGUCUUGGUCUGAAAAAGUAUGACAGGAAAGA